rnacentral:rRNA from 1 species
ACGGGUGAGUAAUACAUCGGAACGUAUCCUGGAGUGGGGGAUAGCCCGGCGAAAGCCGGAUUAAUACCGCAUACGCUCUGAGGAGGAAAGCGGGGGACCUUCGGGCCUCGCGCUCAAGGGGCGGCCGAUGGCGGAUUAGGUAGUUGGUGGGGUAAAGGCCUACCAAGCCGACGAUCCGUAGCUGGUCUGAGAGGACGACCAGCCACACUGGGACUGAGACACGGCCCAGACUCCUACGGGAGGCAGCAGUGGGGAAUUUUGGACAAUGGGGGCAACCCUGAUCCAGCAAUGCCGCGUGUGUGAAGAAGGCCUUCGGGUUGUAAAGCACUUUUGUCCGGAAAGAAAUCAUCGGGGCCAAUACCCCUGGUGGAUGACGGUACCGGAAGAAUAAGCACCGGCUAACUACGUGCCAGCAGCCGCGGUAAUACGUAGGGUGCGAGCGUUAAUCGGAAUUACUAGGCGUAAAGCGUGCGCAGGCGGUGCUGUAAGACCGAUGUGAAAUCCCCGGGCUUAACCUGGGGAACUGCAUUGGUGACUGCAGCGCUGGAGUAUGGCAGAGGGGGUGGAAUUC